UAACACUAACUGGAGGACCGAACCGACUAAUGUUGAAAAAUUAGCGGAUGACUUGUGGCUGGGGGUGAAAGGCCAAUCAAACCGGGAGAUAGCUGGUUCUCCCCGAAAGCUAUUUAGGUAGCGCCUCGUGAAUUCAUCUCCGGGGGUAGAGCACUGUUUCGGCAAGGGGGUCAUCCCGACUUACCAACCCGAUGCAAACUGCGAAUACCGGAGAAUGUUAUCACGGGAGACACACGGCGGGUGCUAACGUCCGUCGUGAAGAGGGAAACAACCCAGACCGCCAGCUAAGGUCCCAAAGUCAUGGUUAAGUGGGAAACGAUGUGGGAAGGCCCAGACAGCCAGGAUGUUGGCUUAGAAGCAGCCAUCAUUUAAAGAAAGCGUAAUAGCUCACUGGUCGAGUCGGCCUGCGCGGAAGAUGUAACGGGGCUAAACCAUGCACCGAAGCUGCGGCAGCGACGCUUAUGCGUUGUUGGGUAGGGGAGCGUUCUGUAAGCCUGUGAAGGUGGCCUGUGAGGGUUGCUGGAGGUAUCAGAAGUGCGAAUGCUGACAUAAGUAACGAUAAAGCGGGUGAAAAGCCCGCUCGCCGGAAGACCAAGGGUUCCUGUCCAACGUUAAUCGGGGCAGGGUGAGUCGACCCCUAAGGCGAGGCCGAAAGGCGUAGUCGAUGGGAAACAGGUUAAUAUUCCUGUACUUGGUGUUACUGCGAAGGGGGGACGGAGAAGGCUAUGUUGGCCGGGCGACGGUUGUCCCGGUUUAAGCGUGUAGGCUGGUUUUCCAGGCAAAUCCGGAAAAUCAAGGCUGAGGCGUGAUGACGAGGCACUACGGUGCUGAAGC
rnacentral:rRNA from 1 species